AAAUAUUUUCUGGGAAUUUAGAUUUUCCUAGCAUUAAACGAAGUUUAAAAGUACUGCACCGUCCGAUAUUUAGACUGAAUGAACAAGGACCAGGGAAAGAUUAGUGCUCGCUGUUUGUUCAUUGAUGACACUCUCUCUCUUUACACCGCGAGGCAGAAUACAUUUGUGUACCUAGAAUUCCUCAGCAACUGUUAGGCGAAAGCAUAGAGGAUUUAAAUAAUUAAGAGCAGGGAAAAGCCGAUAUAGCAUAGGAACACCAAGCGUGCAGGGGCUUGUGUGGUGGUGAAUGUGUAUUCUUAAAUUGGAGGGGGAGGCGAGAAUGAAUGUUAAGACGCGAGCGUCCGGAUUUUGUACUUAAUAUUUUGAUGACGAGCCGAAUGCCAGCAUCUCAAGCUUUGAACCCAGAGUUCAAACUCCACCUGCAGAUACACCGAACUAUUAUGUUGUAUUAAGAAUUCCUUCUCUAAAAGUUGUGUUGAAUACAAAUGAUCGGCGAGGAGGGGAGGGGAAUAGUUCAACGUAACCCCCUAACGAUGAGAUUUCUUUCGUUGAAAGAAAGUGGGUCUUUCCUGGCUCCUCCUUGGAGGUGUAUGGCCCAAGUUCUGAUCCCUUUCGCCCCUCUGACUUUGUAAAAGUUAUUAUGACGCUAAAUGUAAAUGUGGCUUUUUAAGAUGUGAGUUUACUGAGCAGGUGGAGUACAGUUCCUUUUCUGCCUUGCCUUUCCUCCUCCUCCCUGGCUUUUCUCCCCCUUCCUUUUUUAAAAAAAACUUGAACUCAGUUGGUUUAACUUGAACUCGUUUGCCUUGCAACCUGCCCCGAAUGUUGGGGAAGCAGCUCCACAAGUUUUUCCCAGUUGCCGGGUAAUCUUUGUAUAGCUAUGAUCGGCGACAUAAUUGCAUCACGGCUGAACUGGCUAACGUCACGCCAUACAUGAGCGCUGUGGAAAAGUCCGCUAAGCAGUUUGCAGUGGUGGUGACACCCCCCUCCCCCUUCAUGGCAUAACAGGGUGCAGCUGGAGGCAACUGCAACGAGCGCUGAUGUCUCUCGAUUUUGACCCUGGUGGCUACUGGGAGCACAGAAGGACGCGGGAGAAAUUGUACUGGAGUACCAUCGGGCAAGU